GUCUACAGCCAUACCACCCUGAACACAUCCAAUCUCAUCUGAUCUCAGAGGCUAAGCAGUGUCAGGCCUGGUUAGUACUUGGAUGGGAGACAAUGUAGUUU
ensembl:rRNA 5S_rRNA 5S ribosomal RNA